AGAGCCGCGGCGUAACGGGCAGCCAUCUUGUUUGUUUGAGUGAAUCGGAAAGGAGGCGGCGGCUGCGGCGGCG
rnacentral:miRNA from 1 species